ACGACCUUACUUGAACACGAUCUGUUCUAUAGGAUCGUACCGCUGCAUCCUUGACUAAUAAGGAGGCAUAAGGAGGCAAGCACUUAUGCUUGGUUGAUGACAUCUGACCGACCUGUGGGCUUUUGAGCGUGAUUAACGGCUCGGAUCAGUCUGACUGAUCCCAUGCCUGCAGAGGAUCGUUCUUGUUCAGCUCUAGCUGGCCAGGGGGUGGCUCUCGGGUUGUCUGACAGGCU
rnacentral:snoRNA from 1 species